UGUUAUAGCAGCAAAGGGGGGACCAACUCCAUAUCAAUGCCCAUGAUUUUGGAGAUGUUCGAUGAGCAGGUGUCCACAUACUUUUGGUCAUCUAGUGUAUGUCUGAUUAUAAGCACCCUGUCCCUUUUAGGCUGGUAUGCAGUGGCUUAACUAUCCCUGGCCUGUGUCAGUGUGCUCUCUCUCUCUCUCUCUUUGUUUUUACAGUACUCUACCCUGGUCACACCCCUGAAAUAAGGAACCCCUGUGAUUGAAUCCAGAGCAGGAACCUUAUAGAUCUCACUUUAACUCUCCCGGCCAAAGGGCUUUGAUGAGCCAUCAAACACUGCGGGAGCUAGCUGGCGCUACACACUAAUAAACACACCCUGCCUCUUAACCUAGCCCAUGUGAGCAAAGUGCUCUGUGCUGUGAAGGGAGGAUGUGGCGCAGCUCAGGCUAUUCUUUAUCUUCAGACUAGUGUUUAAGGCAAGAGAGCGAGGAAGAGAAAAGAAGUGGAGGGCAAGGGAGGGAGAGAGGAGCAAAAGGGGCAGAGACGGAGUCGUGGUGCCUCUGUGUCCUUACAGAGAUGCCCAAAGAUGUGUGUAUCUGAUGGAUGUUGUGUGCCUUCUGUCUCUCUCUGCCCCCUUUCCCUGCCGCCCAUCCUUACAUUUUAGUCAUUUAGCAGAUGCUCCUAUCCCGAGCAAUUUACAGUUAUUGCAUUCAUCUUAAGAAAGCUAGGUGGGACAACCACAUAAUAAGUCCACCUUUCCUCAAUAAAGUAGCUAUCAGCAAAGUCAGAGCUAGAAGGGGGGGGGGUCAAGUGCAAAUGUGAGGAGGGGAAUUAUUUAAAAUACUCUUUGAAGAGGUAGGGUUUCAGGUGCUUUCGUGAGAUGGAAGCUUCAGAUGGAAGCUGGCUCUACCAUUGGGGUGCCAGAAAAGAGAUUGCACUGGGCUGAGCAGGAGCUGCCCUCCCUUAGGGGUGGGAGGGCCAAGAGACCAGAGGUGGCAGAACGGAGUGCUCGGUUUGGGUUGUAGGGUUUGUGCAUAGCCUGAAGGUAGGGCGGGGCAGUUCCUCUUGCUGCUCUGUAGGUAAGCAUCAUGGUCUUGUAGUGGAAGUGCUCUUCGACUGGAAGCCAGUGGAGGAGCGGGAUGACAUGGGAGAACUUGAAAAGGUUGAAAACCAAGCGGGCUGCAGCACUCUGGAUAAGUUGCAGGGGUUUGAUGGGGCGAGUUGCAGUACUCCAGACGGGACAUGAUAAGUGCCUGGAUUAGGAACUGCGCCGCUUCCUGUGUGAGGUAGGGUCGUACUCUACGGAUAUUGUAGAGCAUGACCUGCAGGAGUGAGUCACUGCUUUGAUGUUUGCAGAGAACGAUUAGGGUGUUGUCCAGGGUCACGCCAAGGUUCUUUGCACUCUAGGAGGGAAACACUGUGGACUUUUCAAUCAUGAUGGAGAUGUCUUCCCCUGGAGGAAGAGUAGCUCCGUCUUGUCGAGCUUCCUGCUUCCUUUCCCGCCCUCUAUUUCCCUCCUCUCUCCCUUCUCCUCUCUCCAGGAUGAACCCUUCAGCUCUCAUAUACCUGAGACGCUCUUUAACAUCUCCAGGUACUUCCUGCACAACCUCACCAAGGAUGUACCACUGGGCAUUACUAAAGUUAACACUCUGUAUGCGUUGGCUAAGCAGAGCAGAACCCCGGGAGAGUUUGAGCUGGCCAGACCCUCUCGCUUCCAGGAGACCAUGGACCUGGGUAGCCUUACCGUCUGCUCCAAACCACUUCAACCAGGUGUGUAACCCAGGACCUGAUCUCCAUGUGCGCUGCUCCACCAACAACCCCCUGCUGGACAGCCAGGGCAGUGUGUGUAUCAACUGCAAACAGCCCUUGAUCUACACGGCAUCGUCAUACGGUCCUACCUCUGUCGCAGUUCUACCUGGACGAGGGUAUUGGUGAUGAGGAGGCUGUGUCUGUCAUUGCCCCGGAGGUCCCUCGCAUCGACAGGAAUGCCGCAGUAGGGGUAUCCAUUACCUUAUGCAGUGUACACCACUAAAAUCAACACAUUUCUCAUGACCACUUUUAGCUAAUGGGAAUAAUCUGUAUGUUAAGGUUGUGUGCUCGUACACGUUUCCAUACAUACACACAUUACAUACAGUAUGUGUAUGUGUCAGUGCUGAGGUGUGUGUUCUGAGAAGGUAGUAAUCCAAGUAUUUCUUGGCACUGAUUUAAUUUCUGCCGAGCAGCAUAAGCUGUCAGGCCUAAGUCAUCUUAGCGGUGAGAGUUAAUAGGGUUAGAGGGAAUCUUCUCUCUCAGUUUAAUGACACUAACACCUCAGAGACCUCUCUGUCUGGGAUUAACCUGCAUUAGCCUGCCUGCCACAAGGGCACGGUGGCCACGGCUUUUCCUAGAAACUACAUGCUGACUAACUCACUGACUGACCUUUAGUAGUCUACUCUCUCCGUCACUCUUACUGGCUGAGCUCUGAGGGUGAAAUGUUGUGCAUUUCAGUGUCUUUGUUUUUCUUUGGUGUUAAAAUGCUCAAAGUGGUGGCAUGGGUCUGUUAAUGGUGUAUGACUUAAAUGUGUGUAAGAAAGCAGGGAGCAGAAGUAUUGUGCACGUCUACGAGUGAGUCCUUAACGGUGUCAGAAUCCCAGUCCCUGAAGCUGGAUGAUGGCACGGAAGACACAAAGGAGGACAUCUUCAUGGCCAAACUCAGUUUUGAGUUGAGGAGGGAGGGACAGAAAGAGGGAAGGAUAUGGAAAGUGAGGAGUGAGAGGGUGGUUAGAAAGGUGGAAGAGAGGGAGGAGGGAAACUAACAGGAGAGUAUGAAUGGAAAGACUCAGUUUCCCUUUACAGAAGGGUGGGUCUGACUAUGUCCCAGUGGUGGUGAGUCGCUCUGUGCUGAGGUCUAUGAGCAGCAGGGAUGUCCUGCUCAAGCCCUGGCCUAAACCCCUUCAGUGAGAGUACUACCGCUCCUUACUGCCUGCUGUCAGCAUCAAUAUGUGCCGCUUUUAUGUUUAACUUAUUUUUGUGUUUCGUGUUUUUUUUACCAGAAGUGUCUUUUACCAAAUGUUGCUAGCGGUAGUGCUAGAUGUUGUGUUGCUAUCUAUGGGAAUCCCUCCUCUGCCUGGUGCUGUGUUCUCUGACCCAUUCAUCCUGUCUUCUCUGCUGUGUUUCCUCUAAUCUAGAUGUUCCACAGUGAAGACUAUAAGCUGCCAGAGAGCUUCAGCUUAACUGCUCUCUCUACUGCUGACUGCCGAUCGAUGAACCCAACUGACCUCCGCAAACUGGUUUAGAAUCACUUAAUCCAUCUCCCAGUUUAUUAAUAUAUUUUAUCAACAUUUCUACUUGGUUAUAAUCCAGCCAGUAAAUAUUUAUGUUCGAUUGUAUGCUGAUCUGGAAUCAGUUACAUGGCUUUCAUCGAAAGUCCAGUCUGAUUGAAAAAGGAGUUUCUCUCUUGCUCUUCUGAGGAAUAUUCCGCCCAUAUGCUCACACCCGAUCAGAAAUACAGUGUAGACAUUGUUAAUGUUGUAAAUGACUAUUGUACCUGGAAACUGCAGAUUUUUUAAUGGAAUAUCUACAUAGGCGUACAGAGGCCGAUUAUCAGCAA